rnacentral:RNase_P_RNA from 1 species
ACGAUGAACCGGCCAGCCGCGGCGGCCUCAAGAAAGCCCGUUCCGUGUCCUCAUGGGAAUCCCAUGUUCGCACGGGAAGGACAUGAUCGCCGUCCGAGGAAAGUCCGGGCUCCGCAGGGCAUGAUGCCGGGUAACACCCGGGCGGGAAGGGUGAAAACUCUUCCCGACAGAAAGUGCAACAGAAAGUAUACAGCCGCCGGAAAGCGCCCCCAGGGGUCAAAGUCCGGCGGCAAUGGUGAAACGGCGUAAAGGAGAGCCUUCGGGUUCUUCGGGUAAGAGCCCACCGCGAUGCCGGUAACGGCAUUGGCCGGCAAACCUCAUCAGGAGCAAAAUCAAGCGGCGCUACAGGGGCUUUGGCCUUUGUGCCGGCUGCCCGCCGGUCAAGCGCAGGUAGAUUGCCGGGGGUAUCCCCGGAGACCGUCCGCAAGGCCGGUCCAAGACAGAUGGCUGACAGGACUGCCUUGGGCAGGAUUGCCCACAGCAGUUCUGAUAACAGAACCCGGCUUACGGUUCAUCGUUUUU